UUAUGCCAUCACUUACAUAGUGGAACUCCGUGGGACGUCAAUCGAAGCAGUUUGUUGGUUACGUUUCCGGUCAGCUACCAGUCUGGGCAAAAGAACGAUGCAAGGACGGACAGACGCAACAGGUUCUUUCGGUGCAACCCUAGCAUUUGUACUUCUGGACGUGCAAUUGUUGCACCAAAACAAACGUAUUUCGUACCUGGCAAAGUCGAAAUCCUGCUCCUGGAGUCUUGCAGAUUUCCUUGAUUCCAACAAGCGAACUUCAUCCAACUUCUUGGUUACAUCGAAAGGAAUCUAUAAAAGAAUCAGAGAGGAAAGAUUAGUUUACAUUGCAUUUCGUAAUUUACAAUCAAAUUAGCUCCAUUGUUUCUCCUAGAAUCUUUCUUUUCCUCCCUUUGUUUCAAAUGGCUCCAUGUGCAACGUAUCAUUAUCAUUGUUACCAUUAAUUUGCUAAUAAGGAGAUUGUACAAAAUGGGCACCAAAUCAGGAGCAAAAUCAAAACGAGCAAAUACAUAGAUUUCGAGCUCGGCUGAGAUUUCAUUUGACUGAACACGAGAAGAAUUGGUCUAACUGCAUACACAAUUAUUUCUGUUUUUUGUUGUCUUUAGCUAAACCACAACCAACAGGAAGAGCAGUGUUGCGCGAAAUGUUGGGUUUAUGUAUGUAGCGUCAUCGUACAUUUAAACGUAUUCAGAAACCGGCGAAAGAAACGAACCACAAAUCAGUGAAUAGAACACGACGACCCUCCUCCCAACAACAUGCUGAGGAAAUUUUCUCUGAAAUCUAGCGAAAAUUACAAAAAUGAGAUUUCCACUAGCCUUUGUCUAGCCCUAAUUUAUACAAAUUUAUUAAUAACAAGUUGGUCUAGAUGUGUAUAUGUAAAUACGUACAACAAGUGCUGAUAUGAAAUAUCGUAUACUAAAAGUCUAGGUAUAUAAUUGCUUGUCAAUUAGUGUGAGUCUCGACUGUUACGGAAAAUUUUGAAAUACAACGUGACAUGGUCACGGCUAUCUGAUAUUUUCCAACAUAAUUGAAGUAUAAUUUAGUGCUGACUCUGUAUAUGCAAUUACAACCAGUUUAUGAAACUGCAGAAAACCAA